ensembl:lncRNA
GUUUACAGACCUGUACGAAUCAGAAGACAUGAUUGAUCUAUACGUUUUUCAACCCCUUUGGAAUAUUGCAGACAACAAUGGCUUACCAGGCUGAAGAAUGAGCUAAGCAACAGUCCACUGGUGUCAAACGUAGCUUUUGGCUUUAUCCUCAUGGGACUGGAAAAGCUGGUGGAGCUGGAGUUUGAGUGUCCUUGCGAUCCUACGUGGAACGGAGUGUUUUCGUCUGCCUUCUUCAUCAUCCCCGCCGUCAUGGCCUUCACCUUGAUGCUGAUCAUCCAGGGGUGCCGGUGCGAUACGUGGUGCAGGAACACCAUCUCCUUCUCCAGCUUUGUCCCCGCUGUCGUUUGGCUGAUUCUGCUGUUCUUGGACGGCCAAUACUUUGCCUGUGCGAUGACAUACUGGGAGGGAAGGUUUGUGAUCGUGGACAAGGCAGCGCCUCAGAAGUGGUGCGAGCCACUGAGCGACGGGGACAUCCCUCUUCAAGAGCUGAUGCUGCGCUCCCAGAACUUGUUUGUUUUCUCUCAGGUGAUAGGCAUAAUCCUUCUGAUAUUCAUCUGUGUGGGACUCAUCGUUUAUGUGGCGAGAGAGAGCUGUGAACAGGACCUGGAGAUGCAGGAGGCAGACGUAGCUGAGCUUACAGUACUUAGGAUGAGCUCACUGCGGACCAGGACUCCCUGAGAGCCGUGUGGUCGGCCGGACCAGCCAGUUCUCAUGGGGGCGAGAGCUAAACCUGGCUGGAAUGAACACUUACAGAGCACCAGGAAUAGACUUCACCGUUGGUCUCCAUUGUUUUGUCAAUCAGUGCCUUGUGUACAUUUGCGAAUAGUUAUUUCAUUGUUUCUUUCGUGUCUUAGUGCCUUAUUGUGUUUGUUUACUAUUAUGUGUGGGAAUUCUUUAAUGCACCAUUUGUUGUUGGACUAAAACUGCAAUACAGUCCUUUCUAACUACAACUUUUUUCUGACGUGGUUGUUCACUUAUAUUAUAUUAAGUGCAUUGUUAAGUGCACAUAUUUUAUUGUUCUAAAGAAACUAAAUGCCAGCCCCUUUUUUGUACCUUCGGUAAAACCAUGUAAUAUACGUUUUAAAAAAACUUGAACAAGGGAAAUUGGAUACAGGGAAACAGGAUAUUCUGUCGCCAGAAUAAGAGUUUUUUGCCUUUGUAUACGAAUAGCUGGCGGAUGGACUAAUGCUUUAAUGUAUAGGGAUCCCCGAGGCAGCUAGUGUUGAAAUGUGUUUGCCACUUCAUACAUUUUGGAGUGUCGCAGGCUGUAUAGUGAAAAUGUGUUGUCAAAGUAAAAUAUCACUUUUAAUAAUUCAGGGGCGCUCUCGGUCUGCUACAUGGAAGAAGACUCCUGACUGAAUCAUCCAAUGAUUCUCAUUCUGUCAGGUUUAUUAUGUAUAUACCAACUAGGAUUCAAAUAUAUAUGAUAAUGCCUACUGCAGUAUUUUUACAUAAAAUAUUGUUCAUGCAUUAUGUAGAAACUGUCAUUGAUUGUGGUUUGUAGCAAGAAAAUGUGACUUAAAAAGUACUGACAUUUGAUUUUGUAAUAAAGAAAU